GAUACAUUAAUGUAUUGUAGGAGGCACAUUAAGAAGUUGGAGUUCCUUCUAUCAGAUUAUAACUUUCUCCAGUGGCUCCCUCCGUGCUGUUCUUCAGUCUCCACACAGCCUUGCAGAGCAGCAGUGAAGAUUGUUCUCCUUUCUCUCUGCAUCCUGGGAGCUGGCUCUGUUCUCCACUUCAACAUGAUGCUGUGAAUUUCCCCUGCACACCAUGAUCUGAGCAACACAAAAAUGAGAGACUUAAAAUUGUCUUGUUUGAGG